GACGAACGCUGGCGGCGUGCUUAAUACAUGCAAGUCGAACGAUGAGGCGGGUGCUUGCACUCGUGGAUUAGUGGCGGACGAGCGAGUAACACGUGAGAAACCGGUCCUUUUCUUUGGGAUAACGGCUGGAAACGGCUGGUAAUACUGGCUAUUACGGCUGAAUAGCAAGGAUUGGUUUGGAAAGGAUUUUUAUGGGCUAUGGUGGGACUGCGGCCUAUACGCUUGUUGGUUGGGCUAUUGCGUACCAUGACUUUGACGGGUAGCCGGGCUGCGAGGGUGGUCGGUCGCACUGGGACUGACAUACGGCCCAGACUCCCACGGGAGGCAGCAGUUGGGAAUAUUGCGCAAGGGACGAAAGUUUGAUGCAGCGACGCCGCGUGGGGUGUCUAGGCCUUCGGGUUGUGAACUCCUGUUUCUCGCGAAAAAGGCACAGUUUUGCCUGUGUUGAUGGUAGUUGGGGAAGAAGCGCCGGCUAACUACGUG
rnacentral:rRNA from 1 species